rnacentral:rRNA from 1 species
GAUGAACGCUGGCGGCGUGCCUAAUACACGCAAGUCGAGCGAACAGACGAGGAGCUUGCUCCUCUGACGUUAGCGGCGGACGGGUGAGUAACACGUGGAUAACCUACCUAUAAGACUGGGAUAACUUCGGGAAACCGGAGCUAAUACCGGAUAAUAUAUUGAACCGCAUGGUUCAAUAGUGAAAGACGGUUUUGCUGUCACUUAUAGAUGGAUCCGCGCCGCAUUAGCUAGUUGGUAAGGUAACGGCUUACCAAGGCAACGAUGCGUAGCCGACCUGGGAGGGUGAUCGGCCACACUGGAACUGAGACACGGUCCAGACUCCUACGGGAGGCAGCAGUAGGGAAUCUUCCGCAAUGGGCGAAAGCCUGACGGAGCAACGCCGCGUGAGUGAUGAAGGUCUUCGGAUCGUAAAACUCUGUUAUUAGGGAAGAACAAAUGUGUAAGUAACUAUGCACGUCUUGACGGUACCUAAUCAGAAAGCCACGGCUAACUACGUG